CUGAUCGAAGGAAUAGUUGCGAGGUUUCUUUUUGCUAGGUCGGGAAGAAGAAGCUAUUGGAUCUCUAGUUGUGGCGGAUCUACCUUUUCCAAAAGGAGAGUUCCGGGUUAGUAUGAUCUCAGUGACGGUUUGCGGUGGGGUGGGGUUCGCGAGCUCCAACCUAAGUAUUGAUGGCAUGUCUUAGUCGGAAACGAGCCGUCCUUUCUAGCGUUGAAUUUAGU
rnacentral:lncRNA from 1 species